UGCCCUGGCUCAGUUAUCACUGUGCUGAUGCUGUCUAUACUAAAGGUACAGUACUGUGAUAACUGAAGGAUGGCA
rnacentral:pre_miRNA from 11 species